ensembl:lncRNA
GCCAGAGCGCCGCCAGGCACAGAGCUGGGAGUGAGGCCGGAGUCCGCCUGCGCACAGGGCUGCAAACCAGGAAUUAGGGAAGACUGCGCAGGCAGAUGCAUCAAGAUGUGAGAUGACUACAAAUAACUUCUCCGUUGGAGAUACAAAAGGUGCUGUUUUAGCAGGAACAAAACAACACAGCAGUUUGAGGCGAGACCACCAGCAGAGAGCUGUCGGAGGACUACAGGAACAGACACCGAUAGAAAUGGGACGGGAUCUCCACACUAAGGCACGAGAGAAUUCAUACUCGAGUAUGGCUAAAACCUUAUUUCCUACAGCAUUGAGUGAGCGGGGUCACAGGGAGUGCUCCUACGCUCCAAACACUCGGCUACGACAUCGGUGAGUUUUGUGUUCCGGGUGGUUUUUUACCUUAGUGCAGCUCCACACAGCAUUCCUAAAAGAAACAGAGGUGGGGGGAUUUCAGGGAGC